UCCGGUUUGGCACCGGCAGUCUCCCUAGAGUUCCCGGCAUGACCCGCUGGCAACUAAGGACAGGGGUUGCGCUCGUUGCGCCACUUAAGGCAACACCUCACGGCACGAGCUGACGACAGCCAUGCAGCACCUCUACCGGCGUCUCUUGCGAGAAGGCGAUGUUUCUACCGCUGGUCGCCGGCGGUUCAAGCCCAGGUAAGGUUCUUCGCGUUGCGUCGAAUUAAACCACAUGCUCCACCGCUUGUGCGGGCCCCCGUCAAUUCCUUUGAGUUUCAGCCUUGCGGCCGUACUCCCCAGGCGGGGUACUUAUUGCGUUAGCGACGGCACCGAAGGGGUCGCUCCCCCCGGCGCCUAGUACCCAUCGUUUACGGCGUGGACUAC
rnacentral:misc_RNA from 1 species